UCUUCUGGAGUGCUGAAGACAGCUACAGUGUACUUACAUAUAAUAAAUAAAUAAAUAAAUCUUUUUUAAAAACCUUAUACAUCUAUUAAUAUAGAAUAAUUAAACAAAAAUCAUAUCUCUAUCAAUAUAGCAUAUAAUAAAGAAAAACCUUAAAGUGAAACAAAAAAAACCUUAAAUUUUUAUCAAUAAACAAUAAUUAAGCAAAACAACCUAAAACCCUAGAUGAUAACAACUAUAACACAUGAAGCAACCAAAACUACCCACCCCUACUUAAGGGAUUGGGACAAUUAAAAAAAAUAUAUAUAUAUAUACAUAUACAUACAUACACACACACACACAUAUAUAUGUGUUUCCUGAUGAAUUGGCGUGAAGAAUUCCUCUUUUGGGCACCAAGGAAAAAGAUUAGCCAGAGUAAAGCUAGCUGUAGCAUUUAUUGCCCAUCUCUGUAUUGUUUGUUGUUUCAGCCCUAAGGGGGAAAAUGGUUAGUCUGAGAAAAGCUAGCUGUAGCAUUUAUUGCCCGGUCUCUGGGUUUAUCCAGUCUCUGCCUUGUCUGUUCAGUCUAUGUAUUGUCCAUCUCUUUGGGAUCAAUCACUUGGGCCAGCCCUUUGGAAGUUGAUUUGUAUGCAGUUUUUUUUUUUUUUAAACAAAUCGGUAACUGAGACAGCCUGCGACUUAUUUGGGCUAUUUGCUUUGUGAUGGGAUUUGAACUCAGGACCCAUGUCUCAGGUGAUAAGAGGUUUUCCUUGGUCAGAUCUGAUUUUUGUAAGUUUUGUUGGUAUCCAUAUUUUUUCAUUCCCUGUAGAUAUAUAAGUAUAACCACACCCCAUCUGAGUGCUAUUGCGGGUUUCCAUUCUAAUGUCAACAUAUCCUUAUACUAUAUUGGUUGACCUAGUUCCUCAAUUUUUUUCCAUAACCCAGUGUCUCUGAGCUGCUGUUGUUCCUUCUUGACCGACAUUAAGAAAAUUGAGAGUUAGCAAUGCAUUAUUUAGCCUGUCUCUCGGUUUUUUUUUUUUACCCUCCCUUUUUGCCCAAUAAGCGUCUCUUUUAAGGUACGAUUGGCUCUUUUUAUAAUUGCUUGUCCUGUGGGAUUGUGUGGUACACCAGUAAUAUGCUUUAUAUUAUAAUAUGCCAAGAAUUGCUCCAUCUUAUUGGAUACAUGUGUGGGGGCAUUGUCAGUUUUGAUUUGUGCAGGUAUCCCCAUAAUUGCCAUUAUUUCCAAUGAAUGUGUAAUUAGACAGUCAGCCCUUUCAGAACUUAAAGCAGCUGCCCAUUGAAACCCUG
rnacentral:lncRNA from 1 species